CCAAGAAAAGCAAGUAUUGCGGCUCGUACCGUAAACGGACACACGUAGUUGGGUUGAGUAUACUAAGGCGCUCGAGUGAUUCAUGGCUAAGGAACUAGGCAAAUUAACUCCGUAACUUCGGGAGAAGGAGUGCUCACAGUGAUGUGAGCCGCAGAGAAAUGGCCCAGGCGACUGUUUAUCAAAAACACAUGGCUUUGCUAAAUCGAAAGAUGAUGUAUAAGGCCUGACACCUGCCCGGUGCCGGAAGGUUAAGUGGAGAUGUUAACUUCGGUGAAGCAUUG
rnacentral:rRNA from 1 species